rnacentral:rRNA from 1 species
GCCCGUCACACCAUGAGAGUUGGGAAUACCCGAAGCCUGUGAGCUAACGCAAGAGGCAGCAGUCGAAGGUAGAAUCAAUGAUUGGGUGAAGUCGUAACAAGGUAUC